rnacentral:rRNA from 1 species
UACGUAGGGUGCGAGCGUUAAUCGGAAUUACUGGCGUAAAGGCGUGCGCAGGCGGUUCGUUGUGUCGGCGGUGAAAGCCCCGGGCUCAACCUGGGAAUGGCCGUUGAAACUGGCGAACUGGAGUGUGGCAGAGGGGGUGGAAUUCCGCGUGGUAGCAGUGAAAUGCGUAGAGAUGCGGAGGAACACCGAUGGCGAAGGCAGCCCCUGGGCUGACACUGACGCUCAGGCACGAA